rnacentral:tRNA from 44 species
GUGGGUGUAGCUCAGCUGGCAGAGCACUUGGUUGUGGUCCAAGAUGUCGGGGGUUCAAGUCCCCUCACUCACCCCA